rnacentral:rRNA from 1 species
AGAUUGAACGCUGGCGGCGUGCCUAACACAUGCAAGUCGAGCGGUAACAGGUGUAGCAAUACAUGCUGACGAGCGGCGAACGGGUGAGUAAUGCUUCGGAAUCUACCCAGUAGUGGGGAAUAACUAACCGAAAGGUUAGCUAAUGCCGCAUACGACCUAUGGGUGAAAGGGGGGGAUCGUAAGACCUCUCGCUAUUGGAUGAGCCGAAGUCGGAUUAGCUAGUUGGUAGGGUAACGGCCUACCAAGGCGACAAUCCGUAGCUGGUCUGAGAGGACGACCAGCCACACUGGGACUGAGACACGGCCCAGACUCCUACGGGAGGCAGCAGUGGGGAAUAUUGGACAAUGGGGGAAACCCUGAUCCAGCGACGCCGCGUGUGUGAAGAAGGCCUGCGGGUUGUAAAGCACUUUUAGUGGGGAUGAAAAGCUCAGGGCUAAUAACCUUGGGUCUUGACCUAACCCAAAGAAAAAGCACCGGCUAACUCUGUGCCAGCAGCCGCGGUAAUACAGAGGGUGCGAGCGUUAAUCGGAAUUACUGGGCGUAAAGCGUGCGUAGACGGUUUCGUAAGUCGGAUGUGAAAUCCCCCGGGCUCAACCUGGGAAUUGCAUUCGAGACUGCGAGGCUAGGGUGCGGAAGAGGGAAGCGGAAUUUCCCGGUGUAGCGGUGAAAUGCGUAGAUAUCGGAAGGAACAUCAGUGGCGAAAGCGGCUUCCUGGUCCAGCACCGACGUUCAGGCACGAAAGCGUGGGGAGCAAACAGGAUUAGAUACCCUGGUAGUCCACGCCAUAAACGAUGAGAACUAGACGUUGAGAGGGUAAGCCUCCCAGUGUCGCAGCUAACGCGCUAAGUUCUCCGCCUGGGG